UACAGAGGGUGCAAGCGUUAAUUGGAAUUACUGGGCGUAAAGCGUGCGCAGGCGGCUUUGCAAGACAGAUGUGAAAUCCCCGGGCUCAACCUGGGAACUGCAUUUGUGACUGCAAGGCUAGAGUACGGCAGAGGGGGAUGGAAUUCCGCGUGUAGCAGUGAAAUGCGUAGAUAUGCGGAGGAACACCAAUGGCGAAGGCAAUCCCCUGGGCCUGUACUGACGCUCAUGCACGAAAGCGUGGGGAGCAAACAGG
rnacentral:rRNA from 1 species